GAUCCUGCAUUCAUGGACAAUAUACUGUCAAAAAGGGAGACUCUUGAUAUGGUCUAGACUGAUGAGGAAGGAGCAAAGACAACUCUUUUAAACUAUGAUAACUUGAUCUGCAUACGAGGAAUACCGAGAAAAUCAGAUCUUCAUUCACACAUAUCAGACUAGCAAAUCCGUGUAAAAAUCUUGAAAAUCUGGAAGCAAAAGGGAGUUCAGGAUGAAGCAAUCGAGUUAUAAUUCCUUGAUGAUAAGGUACUAUAAUUAGCUAGCAAAAAUCUUAUUCAUCUUUUUUAUUUCUACAUCUAUAUUUAGCGAGUUCUGUUUUUAUUUGUUUUAGAUUCAAUAUUACUAAUGGGGAAGGUUGUUCUCAAGUAUCUUUGAUCCACAAAUUCCAGAAUUUACAAGAUUAGGCAAACGUAACCUUAUUCUAACCAAGGUAAAUAAUUAGUGUUGGGUGUUUGGCAACAAGAACAUCAUUUAGUUUACUUUAAAAAAAUAACAAUACGUACUUAGAGCUACUGGAUUGAUUGUUAUCAAGCAUUGGUCUAUAAAACUAUAACUAUAAGAUAGAUGCAUAAACGGAUCCGAGAGAAA